rnacentral:rRNA from 1 species
CCUACGGGAGGCAGCAGUGGGGAAUUUUGGACAAUGGGCGAAAGCCUGAUCCAGCCAUGCCGCGUGCAGGAUGAAGGCCUUCGGGUUGUAAACUGCUUUUGUACGGAACGAAACGGUCUCUUCUAAUAAAGGGGGCUAAUGACGGUACCGUAAGAAUAAGCACCGGCUAACUACGUGCCAGCAGCCGCGGUAAUACGUAGGGUGCAAGCGUUAAUCGGAAUUACUGGGCGUAAAGCGUGCGCAGGCGGUUAUAUAAGACAGUUGUGAAAUCCCCGGGCUCAACCUGGGAACUGCAUCUGUGACUGUAUAGCUAGAGUACGGUAGAGGGGGAUGGAAUUCCGCGUGUAGCAGUGAAAUGCGUAGAUAUGCGGAGGAACACCGAUGGCGAAGGCAAUCCCCUGGACCUGUACUGACGCUCAUGCACGAAAGCGUGGGGAGCAAACAGGAUUAGAUACCCUGGUAGUCCACGCCCUAAACGAUGUCAACUGGUUGUUGGGUCUUCACUGACUCAGUAACGAAGCUAACGCGUGAAGUUGACCGCCUGGGGAGUACGGCCGCAAGGUUGAAACUUNAAAGGAAUUGACGGNUUGGNGNGNGCGAGCGACGACGAGGAGAGG